rnacentral:lncRNA from 1 species
GAGAUACAAGGGCUUAAUAAAAGCAGCAACAGUAAUUGUUCCCGGUAGGAGGAUCGGUGGUACACAGGCCGGUGAGAUAUCCAUUUACAGAACAGGCCGGGACACACUCCUGAUUUGUCUCGCAUGGGAUCCACUCCUCAUUUGUCUGGCUGGGUCCCAGAAAAUCGCAAUUAGCUUCUGCCUCUUUACCACCUACCACAAGAAACCACUGUAUACGUUAUUUCUCAUUGCCAUUAACAUAAACCCAUACAUAUAAUAAAGAAAUAAUGAAAGGUGGUGUACCAAGAGAGAUGAUAAGAAAAACCAGGACGAGUGCAACAGCAGUUGAUUGCUUGGAAGACGCCAUGGAGGUGUAGAGAUGAGCUGCUUCAGGUUAG